rnacentral:rRNA from 1 species
AGUGAACGCUGGCGGUAGGCCUAACACAUGCAAGUCGAACGGCAGCACAGUAAGAGCUUGCUCUUACGGGUGGCGAGUGGCGGACGGGUGAGGAAUACAUCGGAAUCUACUUUUUUGUGGGGGUUAACGUAGGGAAACUUACGACACUACCGCAUAUGCACUACGGGUGAAAGUAGGGGAUAUUCGGUCCUUGCGCGGUUGAAUGUGCCGCUGUUGGCUUAGCUAGUUGGCGGGGUAAAUGCCCACCAAGGCAACGAUCCGUAGCUGGUCUGAGUGGAUGAUCAGCCACACUAGAACUGACACACGAGCCAUACUCCUGCGGCAGACACCAAUAGUGAAUAUUGGACAAUGGGCGCGAGCCUGAUCCAGCCACACCGAGUGAGAAAAGGAGACCUUCAGGUUGUAAAGCCCUUUUGUUGGGAGAGAAACGCAUCAGGUUAAUACCCCGCUGUUCUGACGGUACCCAAAGAAUAAGCACCGGCUAACUUCGUG